GCCUGGAAGUGGAAACUGGGGCAGAAGGUGGGGGGGGAACAGGUAACCGCCGGCCCCAAAGAGUGCAUAGAUGCUCUGUGUGGGGUCAGCUAGUAACUACUAUUUCCUGUAUUCCUACCAUCAUCUCUGUAUAAUCAACUCCAAUCAAGUGCUGCAAAACUGCUGUAAAGCUCAGCAGUGCUUGCAUGAAGGUUUCUGCCAUAAAGCACAUGGCUGGAAAAAGCAGUGAAACGUCACAACACUAAGCUCCUUCCUUGUCUGCUUACAGCCGUAACUACUAAGCCUGCUUCCUGUCGAAGGAGCCCAGGGUGGUAUACAUGGAGGCUGUUCAUACACUCAUGUGAAGCACCAGGAUUGGGGAUGAUCCCAAUGCUGCCCUGCCAGGAAGCCCAGGAAUUUCCCCCAGGCCAUUACUGGCUUAGAAGGGCAGGAGUGUCCCUGGUUGUGUGUGUGCUUGGGCUGUAACCACUACAACACACUGACUCAGCAUUAUUUCAGGCUGUCAGUAUUGGACUGGCAUUCUAGACUCAUUUGGGUUAAUCUAAAAACACCAACAAAAUGAUCAAAUAUGUUGUGAACUGAAAUAAAAUUGGAAUAGAAUGUC